ensembl:misc_RNA
CUGGCAGUUUUGGCAAUUGAAGUCUUUUGCUCAUCCACAAAAUAGGUACAGCAUGGGCAGCAAAAGUGAAAAUGUUUCCCACAAUGUCCUGUCAGCAUUCCUCGACUUGGAGGAAGCCAUUUCCAGAGGAAAUGAGUGCUUCAUUCCCUAUUCCCUUCAGUCCUUGGCCUCU